AUACUCUGGUCUCUCUUCAGAUUGAAUAAAUCUUUUGCCUUUUCUAAAGAUUUUCGUGGAGAGGAUCAACUCCUUUUUUCUGAACCUUCUCCCUACUCCUUUCACCCUAGGUAA